UACGUAGGGUGCGGGCGUUGUCCGGAAUUAUUGGGCGUAAAGGGCUCGUAGGCGGUCUGUCGCGUCGGGAGUGAAAACUCGGGGCUUAACUCCGAGCCUGCUUCUGAUACGGGCAGACUAGAGGUAUGCAGGGGAGAAUGGAAUUCCUGGUGUAGCGGUGAAAUGCGCAGAUAUCAGGAGGAACACCGGUGGCGAAGGCGGUUCUCUGGGCAUGACCUGACGCUGAGGAGCGAAAGUGUGGGGAGCGAACAGG
rnacentral:rRNA from 1 species